rnacentral:lncRNA from 1 species
GUCCCACCCAAAGCUGAGGAGUGACCCUGGCAAGACACUGGCUCAUUCGAGAUGUUAAUUACCAGCUGCUCUUCAGGUGCCAGGGAAUUACAAGAAUGUGCAUAGUGGCCACUUUGUCACAGCAGCUGCAGACUUGGGAACAGAGUUGUGUUGAAGACUUUGUAACUGCAGCCCAGGGAGUUGCACCAAAGUGGAGCCUGUACCUGCUUGAGAGAGCUCUGUCUGGUUUGGGUCCGGGGAGCCGCGGAGAGGCCCACGAUCGAUAAAGGAGUGGCAAUAAAGGAGGUAUGUUGUAUUUUGAUGC